rnacentral:rRNA from 1 species
GGUGAGUAACACGUGAGUAAUCUACCUAUGAAUUUGGGAUAGCUUCGCGAAAGCGGAGGUAAUACCGGAUAAGACCACAGAACUUAGGUUCAGUGGGAAAAGGCAUCGCAAGAUGUCGUUCAUGGAUGAGCUCGCGUCCUAUCAGCUAGUUGGUGAGGUAAUGGCUCACCAAGGCAUAUGACGGGUAGCUGGUCUAAGAGGAUGGUCAGCCACACUGGGACUGAGACACUGCCCAGACUCC